rnacentral:rRNA from 1 species
GAUGAACGCUAGCUACAGGCCUAACACAUGCAAGUCGAGGGACCGGCGCACGGGUGAGUAACACGUAUCCAACCUGCCCUUUACUCGGGGAUAGCCUUUCGAAAGAAAGAUUAAUACCCGAUAUAAAGGAUGGGGAUGCGUUCCAUUAGGUUGUUGGUGAGGUAACGGCUCACCAAGCCUUCGAUGGAUAGGGGUUCGGAGAGUAAGGCCCCCUAGAAUGGAACUGCGGCCCAGUCCAAACUCCUACGGGAGGCAGCAGUGAAGAAUAUUGGUCAAUGGGCGCUAGCCUGAACCAGCCAAGUAGCGUGAAGGAUGAAGGCUUAUGGAACGUAAACUUCUUUUAUAUAAGAAUAUGUAUUAUAUGAAUAAGGAUCGGCUAACUCCGUGCCAGCAGCCGCGGUAAUAC